rnacentral:rRNA from 1 species
UACAGAGGGGGGCAAGCGUUAUUCGGAAUUAUUGGGCGUAAAGGGCGCGUAGGCGGCUUUGCAAGUGACGGGUGAAAGCCCUCGGCUUAACCGAGGAACUGCCUGUCAGACUGUGAGGCUUGAGACCGGGAGAGGUGAGUGGAACUCCUGGUGUAGCGGUGGAAUGCGCAGAUAUCAGGAAGAACACCAACGGCGAAGGCAGCUCGCUAGGACGGUACUGACGCUGAGACGCGAAAGCGUGGGGAGCGAACAGG